AUGUUGAAAGGGAAACGAUUUUUGAAAGGGAAACGAUUGAAGUCAGUCAUGCCGGUGGGAAUCAACUUAGGGGAAACUUUAGGUGCAAUUUCUUCGCUUGGCAGGUCAACGUCGAUUUUGAAUGUCAUAAAAUAAUAGGGGAAGGUAGCUCCUUCGGGAGUGUUAUAGCCCCUGAUAGAUGUGAAGUUUGAGGUCGAGGAUUGCAACGGAUACCCUUUGAGGCUAAAUGCCCCAUCUUAAUUGGUGUUGGGUGACGGAUAGCAUGCUGACCGUGAUCUAAUACUGUAACAAGUACGAAG
rnacentral:rRNA from 1 species